CUCUCGCAUCGAUGAAGAACGCAGCGAAAUGCGAUAAGUAAUGUGAAUUGCAGAAUUCAGUGAAUCAUCGAAUCUUUGAACGCACCUUGCGCUCCUUGGUAUUCCGAGGAGCAUGCCUGUUUGAGUGUCAUGGAAUUCUCAACUCUGUUUGCUUUUGUGAAUAGAGCUUGGACUUGGAGGUUUAUUGCCGGUACCUGUGAUCGGCUCCUCUUGAAUGCAUUAGCUCGAACCUUUUGUGGAUCAGCUUAUCGGUGUGAUAAAAAUGUCUACGCCGUUACUGUGAAGCAUAUUAUUCGGCUUCCAAUCGUCCUUCACGGGACAAUAACUUUGACCUUUGACCUCAAAUCAGGUAGGAUUACCCGCUGAACUUAAGCAUAUCAAUAAGCGGAGGAAAAGAAACUAACAAGGAUUCCCCUAGUAACUGCGAGUGAAGCGGGAAAAGCUCAAAUUUAAAAUCUGGCGGUCUUUGGCCGUCCGAGUUGUAGUCUGGAGAAGCGUUUUCCGCGC
rnacentral:rRNA from 1 species